rnacentral:rRNA from 1 species
GGCACCUCGGGGGAGGGAGGGGGUGGCAUAGGUGGGGGGCGAGGGUUGGCUGGAAUGUGUGGGCGGAAAGGGGUCGUGGGUGGCUUGACGGGGCGGCUGUGAAAACCGGGGGAUCAGCCCCGGGCCUGCAGCCGAGACGGGCAAGCUAGAAUUCGGUAGGGGAGACUGGAAUUCCUGGUGUAGCGGUGAAAUGCGCAGAUAUCAGGAGGAACACCGGUGGCGAAGGCGGGUCUCUGGGCCGAUAUUGACGCUGAGGAGCGAAAGCGUGGGGAGCGAACAGGAUUAGAUACCCGGGUAGUC